GGGAGAAAGCAGGGGACCUUCGGGCCUUGCGCUAUCAGAUGAGCCUAGGUCGGAUUAGCUAGUUGGUGGGGUAAUGGCUCACCAAGGCGACGAUCCGCAACUGGUCUGAGAGGAUGAUCAGUCACACUGGAACUGAGACACGGUCCAGACUCCUACGGGAGGCAGCAGUGGGGAAUAUUGGACAAUGGGCGAAAGCCUGAUCCAGCCAUGCCGCGUGUGUGAAGAAGGUCUUCGGAUUGUAAAGCACUUUAAGUUGGGAGGAAGGGCAGUAAAUUAAUACUUUGCUGUUUUGACGUUACCGACAGAAUAAGCACCGGCUAACUCUGUGCCAGCAGCCGCGGUAAUACAGAGGGUGCAAGCGUUAAUCGGAAUUACUGGGCGUAAGGCGCGCGUAGGUGGUUCGUUAAGUUGGAUGUGAAAUCCCCGGGCUCAACCUGGGAACUGCAUUCAAAACUGACGAGCUAGAGUAUGGUAGAGGGUGGUGGAAUUUCCUGUGUAGCGGUGAAAUGCGUAGAUAUAGGAAGGAACACCAGUGGCGAAGGCGACCACCU
rnacentral:rRNA from 1 species